rnacentral:pre_miRNA from 1 species
AAUAGAUGAUGCUAUUGGCUUUUGAGCACACGUUUGACCAUUGGUUUUAUUUAAAAAGUUUACGUAAUUACAAUUUUUUUUGUUGUGAGUUGUUUUAUCAUUAAAAAUAGUUUUAGCGUGAUUUAUAUCUUAUGCAUUUCGCACAGAAUUUUUGAAUAAGACGAAUGAUCAAACGUGUGCUCAAAAGUUAAUGGCAUCAUCUAUU